rnacentral:rRNA from 1 species
AGUGAACGCUGGCGGUAGGCCUAACACAUGCAAGUCGAACGGCAGCACAGUAAGAGCUUGCUCUUACGGGUGGCGAGUGGCGGACGGGUGAGGAAUACAUCGGAAUCUACUUUUUCGUGGGGGAUAACGUAGGGAAACUUACGCUAAUACCGCAUACGACCUACGGGUGAAAGCAGGGGAUCUUCGGACCUUGCGCGAUUGAAUGAGCCGAUGUCGGAUUAGCUAGUUGGCGGGGUAAAGGCCCACCAAGGCGACGAUCCGUAGCUGGUGUGAGAGGAUGAUCAGCCACACUGGAACUGAGACGCGGUCCAGACGCCUACGGGAGGCAGCAGUGGGGAAUAUUGGACAAUGGGCGCAAGCCUGAUCCAGCCAUACCGCGUGGGUGGAGAAGGCCUUCGGGUUGUAAAGCCCUUUUGUUGGGAAAGAAAAGCAGCAGGUUAAUACCCCGCUGUUCUGACGGUACCCAAAGAAUAAGCACCGGCUAACUUCGUG